rnacentral:tRNA from 1 species
GCCUUCGUGGUAUAGUGGUCAGAACGCUCGACGGGUAAUCGAGAGGUCCGUGGUUCAAUUCCCGGCGAGGGCC